AGCGAACGCUGGCGGCAGGCUUAACACAUGCAAGUCGAGCGGGCGUAGCAAUACGUCAGCGGCAGACGGGUGAGUAACGCGUGGGAACAUACCUUUUGGUUCGGAACAACACAGGGAAACUUGUGCUAAUACCGGAUAAGCCCUUACGGGGAAAGAUUUAUCGCCGAAAGAUUGGCCCGCGUCUGAUUAGCUAGUUGGUGAGGUAACGGCUCACCAAGGCGACGAUCAGUAGCUGGCUGAGAGGAUGAUCAGCCACAUUGGGACUGAGACACGGCCCAAACUCCUACGGGAGGCAGCAGGUGGGGGAUACUGGACAAUGGGCGCAAGCCUGAUCCAGCCAUGCCGCGUGAGUGAUGAAGGCCCUAGGGUUGUAAGCUCUUUUGUGCGGGAAGAUAAUGACGGUACGCAAGAAUAAGCCCCGGCUAACUUCGUGCCAGCAGCCGCCGCGGUAAC
rnacentral:rRNA from 1 species